rnacentral:rRNA from 1 species
GAAACCGUUUAGGGGUAAACCUGAGAAACCCGAAAGGUCGAAGGAAGAAAUUCAAUCGUGUCCGAUAAGGUUAUUGUGCGGUUUUGGUGUCGAUUAAUGGAUUCGUUCAUUUUUCGCCCUACUGUAUGAUAUAUGUACCUUGUUGAACGCGUGCACUUUUCUUCUGGUAGGACGUCGCGAUCCGUUGAGUGUUGAUCUACGGUUUGAAUGGUAGUCUAGCAAUGAAAGUCCUUGGACUUUCAUUGCUAGACCUUCGAUACCUGGUCAACUGGCUCGACGGUAUCAUAUAAUGGUUCUGGGCCGCUCAUUUGGAGCGUUCGGCUUGUAGCAAGCACGUUAAUUGUUUCGGUGCAUUUUCGGACCUAGUGCCGUGUCUGAUCCUUAACGUCUGUUGGCUGCAUUGUCUCGGACAGACCCAUAUUUGUGAACCGAUCUGCGACGAUAUAGCUUUGGGUACUUUCAGGACCCGUCUUGAAACACGGACCAAGGAGUCUAGCAUGUACGCGAGUCAUUGGGAAUCACAAAACCUAAAGGCGCAAUGAAAGUAAAUGUUUUCCUUUACGGUUAACGAUGGGAAGACGGGCGUUUAACUUUACAGUUGGCGUUCUGCACUCCCGGGGCGUCUCAUUCUCAUUAUGAGAAGAGGCGCACCAUGAGCGUACACGCUGGGACCCGAAAGAUGGUGAACUAUGC